rnacentral:rRNA from 1 species
UGGGGUGCAGCAGGCGCGAAACCUUUACAAUGCGCGAAAGCGUGAUAAGGGAACUCCAAGUGCUAAUGGGAAACCAUUGGCUUUUGUCAAGUGUAAACAGCUUGAUGAAUAAGGACUGGGUAAGACCCGUGCCAGCCGCCGCGGUAAUACGGGCAGUUCAAGUGGUGUCCACGUAUAUUGGGCUUAAAGCGUCCGUAGCUGGUCCAGCAAAUUUUUAGUGAAAGCUCGCAGCUUAACUGAUGAGAAUUGCUAAAAAUACUGUUGGACUUGGAGGCGGGAGAGGUAAGAGGUACUUUUGGGGUAGCGGUUAAAUGUGUUAAUCCUGAAAGGACCACCGGUAGCGAAGGCGUCUUACUAGAACGCACUCGACAGUGAGGGACGAAGGCUAGGGGAGCAACCCGGAUUAGAUAUUAUGAAAAAUUAAAAAAAAUCUUCAAAUUUUUAGUUUUUCAAACUGAAAACCCGGUUAGUCCUAGCAGUAAAUUAUGCAGACUAGGUGUCCCGUAACUCACGAGGUUAUGGGGUGCCGAAGGGAAACUGUUAAGUCUGCCGCCUGGGAAGUACGUACGCAAGUAUGAAACUUAAAGGAAUUGGCGGGGGAGCA